GACGAACGCUGGCGGCGUGCUUAACACAUGCAAGUCGAACGGUGAAGCGCCUUCCUUUUUGGUGGGUGUGGAUGAGUGGCGAACGGGUGAGUAACACGUGAGUAACCUGCCCCCUUCUUCUGGAUAACCGCAUGAAAGUGUGGCUAAUACGGGAUAUUCUGGGUCUGUCGCAUGAUGGGUCUGGGAAAGAUAUUGUUUCGGUGGGGGAUGGGCUCGCGGCCUAUCAGCUUGUUGGUGGGGUGAUGGCCUACCAAGGCGGUGACGGGUAGCCGGCCUGAGAGGGUGGACGGUCACACUGGGACUGAGACACGGCCCAGACUCCUACGGGAGGCAGCAGGGGGGAAUAUUGCACAAUGGGAGCAAGGCUGAUGCAGCGACGCCGCGUGAGGGAUGGAGGCCUGCGGGUUGUGAACCUCUUUCGCCAGUGAAGCAGGCCUGCCUCGUUUGUGGGUGGGUUGACGGUAGCUGGAUAAGAAGCGCCGGCUAACUACGUG
rnacentral:rRNA from 1 species